rnacentral:rRNA from 1 species
CCUACGGGGGGCAGCAGUGGGGAAUAUUGGACAAUGGGGGGAACCCUGAUCCAGCCAUGCCGCGUGUGUGAAGAAGGCCCUCGGGUUGUAAAGCACUUUCAGUGAGGAAGAACGCCUGGUGGUUAAUACCCAUCAGGAAAGACAUCACUCACAGAAGAAGCACCGGCUAACUCCGUGCCAGCAGCCGCGGUAAUACGGAGGGUGCGAGCGUUAAUCGGAAUUACUGGGCGUAAAGCGCGCGUAGGUGGCUUGAUAAGCCGGUUGUGAAAGCCCCGGGCUCAACCUGGGAACGGCAUCCGGAACUGUCAAGCUAGAGUGCAGGAGAGGAGGGUAGAAUUCCCGGUGUAGCGGUGAAAUGCGUAGAGAUCGGGAGGAAUACCAGUGGCGAAGGCGGCCUUCUGGACUGACACUGACACUGAGGUGCGAAAGCGUGGGUAGCAAACAGGAUUAGAUACCCUGGUAGUC